UACAGAGGUCUCGAGCGUUGUUCGGAUUUAUUGGGCGUAAAGGGUGCGUAGGCGGUGUGGCAAGUCAAGUGUGAAAUCUCGGAGCUUAACUCUGAAACUGCACUUGUUACCGCCGUGCUAGAGGGUUGUAGAGGAGAUCGGAAUUCACGGUGUAGCAGUGAAAUGCGUAGAUAUCGUGAGGAAGACCGGUUGCGAAAGCGGGUCUCUGGGCAAUUCCUGACGCUGAGGCACGAAGGCUAGGGGAGCAAACGGG
rnacentral:rRNA from 1 species